GUGUGAAAAACAGGUCAUACAUAUGUUGUCUAAUCGAGCCGUGGAUCCAAAGGAACUCAGCAUAUAAUUAAACUAAGAUGUGCAUGUGUGGUGGAGUAAAUGAUAGUAAUGGUAAAACAUACUUCUCAUUGCUCCUCAUAUUGCUAUCUCUCCUCUUCUUUGAUCUUUGCUUUGGGAGAACAUGGGCUAUCUCUUCUUUUUUCAGUUGGGUAGUAGAUACCCCUAAUUCUACUGUCAGACACUUGUCCAUUUUUUCCACUCAGGUGGGCAU
rnacentral:lncRNA from 1 species